UACAGGGGGGGCAAGCGUUGUUCGGAAUUACUGGGCGUAAAGGGCCAGUAGGCGGCCAACUAAGUCCGACGUGAAAUCCCUAGGCUUAACCUAGGAACUGCGUCGGAUACUGGAUGGCUUGAAUUCGGGAGAGGGAUGCAGAAUUCCAGGUGUAGCGGUGAAAUGCGUAGAUAUCUGGAGGAAUACCGGUGGCGAAGGCGGCUCACUGGACCGGAACUGACGCUGAGGCGCGAAAGCGUGGGGAGCAAACAGG
rnacentral:rRNA from 1 species